ACACUGCGGAUCCCUCCAUCCGGAAACACUUGUCCUAGAAAUGGUUGUAUCUAGACUUGUUUUAGUUAUAGAUACAUCCAUUUUAUCCAUUUCUAGGACAAGUAUUUUCGGACGGAGGACGUACACC
rfam:Triticum aestivum genome assembly, contig: Triticum_aestivum_CS42_TGACv1_scaffold_404217_5BL